AUUGAACGCUGGCGGCAGGUCUAACACAUGCAAGUCGAACGGUAACAGGAAGAAGCUUGCUUCUUUGCUGACGAGUGGCGGACGGGUGAGUAAUGUCUGGGAAACUGCCUGAUGGAGGGGGAUAACUACUGGAAACGGUAGCUAAUACCGCAUAACGUCGCAAGACCAAAGAGGGGGACCUUCGGGCCUCUUGCCAUCGGAUGUGCCCAGAUGGGAUUAGCUAGUAGGUGGGGUAACGGCUCACCUAGGCGACGAUCCCUAGCUGGUCUGAGAGGAUGACCAGCCACACUGGAACUGAGACACGGUCCAGACUCCUACGGGAGGCAGCAGUGGGGAAUAUUGCACAAAGGGCGCAAGCCUGAUGCAGCCAUGCCGCGUGUAUGAAGAAGGCCUUCGGGUUGUAAAGUACUUUCAGCGGGGAGGAAGGGAGUAAAGUUAAUACCUUUGCUCAUUGACGUUACCCGCAGAAGAAGCACCGGCUAACUCCGUG
rnacentral:rRNA from 1 species